AUUGAACGCUGGCGGCAUGCUUUACACAUGCAAGUCGAACGGUAACAGGCCUUCGGGUGCUGCCGAGUGGCGAACGGGUGCGUAAUGCAUCGGAACGUACCCAGAGGUGGGGGAUAACGCAGCGAAAGCUGUGCUAAUACCGCAUGUGAUCUGAGGAUGAAAGCGGGGGACCGAGCAGCAAUGUUUGGCCUCGCGCCUUUGGAGCGGCCGAUGUCGGAUUAGCUAGUUGGUGGGGUAAAGGCCUACCAAGGCGACGAUCCGUAGCUGGUCUGAGAGGACGACCAGCCACACUGGGACUGAGACACGGCCCAGACUCCUACGGGAGGCAGCAGUGGGGAAUUUUGGACAAUGGGCGCAAGCCUGAUCCAGCAAUGCCGCGUGCGGGAAGAAGGCCUUCGGGUUGUAAAACGCUUUUGGCAGGAACGAAACGGUGUCUGCUAAUACCGGGCGCUAAUGACGGUACCUGCAGAAUAAGCACCGGCUAACUACGUG
rnacentral:rRNA from 1 species